AUGGUGUGAGGGGAGGCGUUCCAGAUCUCCUGACACAAAGGGCUGCCCACCUCCCUGGUCGUUCACCCGAAGCUUCAGGAGGCAGACACACACAUUAGCCAGCCCCUCUCUCCAGGGCAAGGGGAGCGGGACAAAAAGCAAUUUCGAGAUUUGUACCAUGCUGGCCAGGUCCUUCAAGAAUGACUACAUUGUCACCACAAUGGUAACAACGGGGAAUCCGCCGCCCACUGCUCUUGCACAGCAGGUAAUGCUGGAAUACAGAUGACUGGAGGGACACCCAGAGCUGCCCGGGCAGUUCCCGGUGGCUGGUUCCUUUGCACUUUGCACUGACAAUAAAAACGCCCUCCCUCCCACGGCCCCCUGGGCCCUCCCAUCUCUC